rnacentral:rRNA from 1 species
GACAGAGGCCCCAAGCGUUAGGCGGAAUCACUGGGCGUAAAGCGUGCGCAGGCGGUUGUGCAAGACAGAUGUGAAAUCCCCGGGCUCAACCCGGGAACUGCGUCCGAUACUGGAAGGCUUGAAUCCGGGAGAGGGAUGCGGGAAUUCCAGGUGUAGCGGUGAAAUGCGUAGAUAUCUGGAGGAACACCGGUGGCGAAGGCGGCAUCCUGGACCGGUAUUGACGCUGAGGCGCGAAAGCCAGGGGAGCAAACGGG